rnacentral:rRNA from 1 species
UACGAAGGGGGCUAGCGUUGUUCGGAAUCACUGGGCGUAAAGGGCGCGUAGGCGGCUUUGUAAGUCGGGGGUGAAAGCCUGUGGCUCAACCACAGAAUUGCCUUCGAUACUGCAUGGCUUGAGACCGGAAGAGGUUAGUGGAACUGCGAGUGUAGAGGUGAAAUUCGUAGAUAUUCGCAAGAACACCAGUGGCGAAGGCGGCUCACUGGCCCGAUACUGACGCUGGAGGCACGAAAGCGUGGGGAGCAAACAGG